UGAUAGCCAGCACCUUAUGGUAUAAAUCAACAAAGAAUGACCUCACUUUGUUGUAUAGAAAGUCUCAUUAGUAAGGAAGCAUAUAUGAAUUUUCUGAGUCAAGACCUAUAGUGACUGUUUGGGGUUUUGUUAGGUUAAGUUUAGGGUAUCUUCAAACACAUGAUAGCCAGCACCUUAUGGUAUAAAUCAACACAGAAUGACCUCACUUUGUUGUAUAGAAAGUCUCAUUAGUAAGGAAGCAUAUAUGAAUUUUCUGAGUCAAGACCUAUAGUGACUGUUUGGGGUUUUGUUAGGUUAAGUUUAGGGUAUCUUCAAACACAUGACAGCCAGCACCUUAUGGUAUAAAUCAACACAGAAUGACCUCACUUUGUUGUAUAGAAAGUCUCAUUAGUAAGGAAGCAUAUAUGAAUUUUCUGAGUCAAGACCUAUAGUGACUGUUUGGGGUUUUGUUAGGUUAGGUUAGGUUAAGUUUAGGGUAUCUUCAAACACUUGAUAGCCAGCACCUUAUGGUAUAAAUCAACAGAGAAUGACCUCACUUUGUUGUAUAGAAAGUCUCAUUAGUAAGGAAGCAUAUAUGAAUUUUCUGAGUCAAGACCUAUAGUGACUGUUUGGGGUUUUGUUAGGUUAGGUUAAGUUUAGGGUAUCUUCAAACACAUGAUAGCCAGCACCUUAUGGUAUAAAUCAACACAGAAUGACCUCACUUUGUUGUAUAGAAAGUCUCAUUAGUAAGGAAGCAUAUAUGAAUUUUCUGAGUCAAGACCUAUAGUGACUGUUUGGGGUUUUGUUAGGUUAAGUUUAGGGUAUCUUCAAACACAUGACAGCCAGCACCUUAUGGUAUAAAUCAACACAGAAUGACCUCACUUUGUUGUAUAGAAAGUCUCAUUAUUAAGGAAGCAUAUAUGAAUUUUCUGAGUCAAGACCUAUAGUGACUGUUUGGGGUUUUGUUAGGUUAGGUUAGGUUAAGUUUAGGGUAUCUUCAAACACCUGAUAGCCAGCACCUUAUGGUAUAAAUCAACACAGAAUGACCUCACUUUGUUGUAUAGAAAGUCUCAUUAGUAAGGAAGCAUAUAUGAAUUUUGUUAGGUUAAGUUUAGGGUAUCUUCAAACACAUGACAGCCAGCACCUUAUGGCAUAAAUCAACACAGAAUGACCUCACUUAACUGUAU